GGUCUAUAUAUAUCAAUAUGUAUCAGACCUAGAACUUCACUGGCUCACUCAUCUUUUUCAGUAAAAGGUGACUUGAUAAUUUUUUUAAGAAGACAGGACUCAUCGGUUGGAAGUGAUUCACAAUCACUGACUUCGAAGAUUUUCUCUUAUAUCAAUCUAUUUAUUCUGUUCUUAUUAAUAUGACCUAACCUAUAGUGCCAA
rnacentral:lncRNA from 1 species